AAUGCUGGCCUCGCUGCUGCCAGUUUUCUCCUCUCCAAGCUCUGCGGAGGGAUCACUCCAUGAGACUGGGAGCCCAUUGUUGGAACUUCUCAUCCCACAGCCCACAGAAGAUUAAAAACGUGUCAAAUUAGCAUUUUCACCUGUUCCUCCGGAGCUGUCCAAAUCUAUGAUCCUGGCCAAAACUAAGGAGACUGCAAGAAGGCAGAACACUGGCUUCCACACUGAAUCUAAAAUGCAGAUACAUGUGGCAGUAUCAUUAAAACAUGGCUGAUAUCACCUGUGCUCCAUACUGUAUUGUUCACUGCACCUCAACCAGACAGCCUGGGUCAGAGUGAGAUUUUCAGCACUUACAAUGUUCCAGGUACUAUACUAAGCGCUAGAG